rnacentral:rRNA from 1 species
UACAGAGACUGCGAGCGUUAUUCGGAUUCACUGGGCGUAAAGGGUGCGCAGGCGGCCGUGUGUGUGAGGCGUGAAAGCCCGGGGCUUAACCCCGGAAUUGCACCUCAAACUACACGGCUAGAGCAUUGGAGAGGGUAGCGGAAUUCACGGUGUAGCAGUGAAAUGCGUAGAUAUCGUGAGGAACACCAGUGGCGAAGGCGGCGACCUGGACGGACAUUGACGCUGAGACGCGAAAGCGUGGGGAGCAAACAGG